rnacentral:lncRNA from 1 species
AGGUUUGUAGAAAUGCUCUAUACACCAGACAUUACAUCAGGUGUGCCUUUAACAUACUUUGGAUCCACCUGGAACGAAAUCAGGUAUUUGUGAGUCGUUAACGUAAAGCGUGCAUGCAACUUUAUUUCAGCUUUUCCUAAAUACUAGCUGUGAAUAGCGUUAACUGGCGGUGACCAUGUAACUUAGAGGAAAAGUGGAAAUUAGAACAUGCUCUGUAGUUCAAUGUGGUGAUUGUGGUCUAUGUAGUUAUGUCUUAAUCCAAUAUUUUAGCCGAUUUCCAGUUUAAGGUCAAACCGGAGAACGGAGCUUAUAGUUCCUGUAUACUUGAUGCAUUAGUUCCAGAUAUUAAUGACAUCAAAUGCAAAGGAGAUCAGCAUUUAUUAAGCAAGAGGGAAUGCAAUGGAAGGAUUUAAAUAAAAUCUCACUUCUAAGCGCGGCCGCUUGAUGAACCUCUGCUGCGGCUGUGAAUCCAGUUGCUCUGAAAGAUGAAGGAAGAACUCCAGUGAGUUUGAGUUUGCAUAGGAGCGCAUGUGCAUGGACCUCCGAGAGGCAAGAUGCCCAUGACCUGUGCCAAGAUGAUGCCAUGAUAAUGGUACUCGGAAGGCAGCUGCAUUCGGUUCCUGUGACUGGAAUUGAAUCAAAUGCAUAAUGGCGAAGUGAUAGGAAUCAUUGAACAAGAAUAAUCCUGGCAUUGAAUGUCUGAUGAAUUCAAUAAAAUAAUAAAAAAAAAUAACUGGAUAACUUUUGAGUCUGCUAUUAAUAUU